UACGGAGGGUGCAAGCGUUGUCCGGAAUCACUGGGCGUAAAGGGCGCGUAGGCGGCUCAUGAAGGCUGUGGUGAAAGUCCGGGGCUCAACCUCGGAUCGGCCGUGGCAACUGCUGGGCUGGAGCACAGUAGAGGCGGGUGGAAUUCCGGGUGUAGCGGUGGAAUGCGUAGAGAUCCGGAAGAACACCGGUGGCGAAGGCGGCCCGCUGGGCUGUUGCUGACGCUGAGGCGCGACAGCGUGGGGAGCAAACAGG
rnacentral:rRNA from 1 species